rnacentral:rRNA from 1 species
AUUGAACGCUGGCGGCAUGCCUUACACAUGCAAGUCGAACGGCAGCGCGGACUUCGGUCUGGCGGCGAGUGGCGAACGGGUGAGUAAUACAUCGGAACGUACCCUGUUGUGGGGGAUAACUAGUCGAAAGAUUAGCUAAUACCGCAUACGACCUGCGGGUGAAAGUGGGGGACCGCAAGGCCGCACGCAGCAGGAGCGGCCGAUGUCUGAUUAGCUAGUUGGUGGGGUAAAGGCCCACCAAGGCGACGAUCAGUAGCUGGUCUGAGAGGACGAUCAGCCACACUGAGACUGAGACACGGCCCAGACUCCUCCGGGAGGCAGCAGUGGGGAAUUUUGGACAAUGGGGGGCACCCUGAGCCAGGAAUGCCGCGUGUGUGAAGAAGGCCUUCGGGUUGUAAAGCACUUUUGUCCGGAAAGCAAUCGAGCUGGUUAAUACCUAGCGUGCAUGACGGUACCGGAAGAAUAAGCACCGGCUAACUACGUGCCAGCCGCCGCAGUAA